rnacentral:rRNA from 1 species
CUAGCGACUUCAGAGUUUGAUCCUGGCUCAGGAUGAACGCUGGCGGCGUGCCUAACACAUGCAAGUCGAGCGAGAUGUCUGUGAUGGAUUCCUCGGAUGACAGAUCAGACGGAAAGCGGCGGACGGGUGAGUAACGCGUAGGCAACCUGCCCUUCACAGAGGGAUAGCCUCGGGAAACCGGGAUUAAAACCUCAUAAUGCCAUAGGAAGACAUCUUCUCUUGGCCAAAGAUUUAUCGGUGAAGGAUGGGCCUGCGUCUGAUUAGUUAGUUGGUGGGGUAACGGCCUACCAAGGCGACGAUCAGUAGCCGACCUGAGAGGGUGAUCGGCCACAUUGAAACUGAGACACGGUCCAA